GGGGCCGUGGGGUAGCUUGGCUAGCCUACCAGCUUGGGGUGCUGGCGACCUGGGUUCAAAUCCCGGCGGCCCCACCA
rnacentral:tRNA from 1 species